AGCAGGUCCUCGAAUGCUAUAAUUUCUCAAAAUCUGAUAAAGAACAAACUCAUCUACAUCUUGGAUAGCCUGAAGAUGAGUAAAUCUGACUAUUAGCAUGAAGUCUGGUGCAAUUGUGACUAAUUCUGACCAAUACUGAAGCAAGAAAGAUCAGUCCGGUUGGCAUUAAAAGCAUGCGUUGACAGUUCCAUUUGUUUUUGUAAGACUUUUAGAGGCAUGUUUGUGAACUUUCUAAUUAGAAUUUCUUUUUGUUAAUCCAAAAUUAUUAAUGAUUAUUUCAUAGACAUAACUUACAACACAGUAUGACUAUAAACCUCUUGAAAAGUGUCUGAAACAAACCUUUAGAAGAACUUUGGCACAUUUAAUGGUAAGUUCUUCCAAAAAAGCUGCUGAGAUGAAAUUGCAAAAAUGAAAACCUGUCAAAAAUGUUUAACCUUUAAUAGCACGAGCCACCCCAAAAUGCAGUCUUUUGCCAUUUUGAUUAAGAACACCUGAACAACUUCAUCUGGAUUUAAUCUUGUUAAUCACAUUCUCUCUGUGGACUGUUAUAUUUUUGUAGUUCAAUUUAAUAACUCAAAUGACUUGUGUAGAUUUUAAUCCCUAGACAUUCUUUUUUGACCAAAAAUGAUUUCUAAAUCCCAGAGAAAUUAUGGGGACCAUGCAAGUCUAAUGUAAUUUUUUUCCCUCAUGGUAUUGCUAAAAUUGUUUUAAUAUCAUUUGUUGGUAUCCAGCAUUAUGAAUGUAAGCAUUUUUAUGUUGAAAUGAUGGCACUUGCUCUCUGUAUGCUACCUUUUAGAUUAUUGGUGAUUAUUGAGAUUGUAAUGGUGCAUAUGAAGAUCAUCACUUCAUCUCUGCUGCUCAAUACAAUAUAUAUACAAUAAGUGUUAAAAGCGAAGUCCUUAUUUCUGCAGCUUUAGUGGCACUGUAGCCUACUCCAAAUCCUCUGAAUGACAACUGUGAUAAUUGUCAUUAUUUUUAUUUAUGCAGUUCUGUUUAGUGGCAUAGAAUUUAUACACUUCACUUUUAACUUCAUAAAUGUAGGUCCGAUAGUUCUCAGUCAGUAAUAUACCUGUAUACUAUUGUUCAGAAAGAAGCCAACCAUAUAGGGAAGACAUGGAAGGGCUGGUUUUCAGGUGUCAAGCAAUGAUAUUACAGGGCACUCCUACGGACUUAACACACAUAACAGAAAUAACCUUUACAUGUCUGGACAUCUGCCUUUCCUUACAUCAGAACCACAGCAUGUCUUCAGCAGCAAACAGCUUCCGAUCAGAGACUCUUCUGUACCGACAUGUUUUAUGUGGAUUCACAUCAUGUAACCAAAGGAUGCACUGACUCCCUCAUUUCCUUGGUGAAAACAUUUCUGCGACAAUCCUACAAUUUUAGAAAAAAGCAGGGCCUGGAAGGUGAGCAGGCGGCUGCUGGCGUAUCAGUAAUCAGUUGGCUUUAUCUGGACUUGUCACGCACUCAGAGCUCGGCUGGCUACAAUCCUCAGGCUUGAUCAGAACAGGAUGUGCUGGGAAAGCAAGAUAAAGCACUGCGCAG